GGUUAAGCGACUAAGCGUACACGGUGGAUGCCCUGGCAGUCAGAGGCGAUGAAGGACGUGCUAAUCUGCGAAAAGCGUCGGUAAGGUGAUAUGAACCGUUAUAACCGGCGAUGUCCGAAUGGGGAAACCCAGUGUGAUUCGUCACACUAUCGUUAACUGAAUACAUAGGUUAACGAGGCGAACCGGGGGAACUGAAACAUCUAAGUACCCCGAGGAAAAGAAAUCAACCGAGAUUCCCCCAGUAGCGGCGAGCGAACGGGGAGCAGCCCAGAGUCUGAAUCAGCUUGUGUGUUAGUGGAACGGUCUGGAAAGUCCGACGGUACAGGGUGAUAGUCCCGUACACCAAAAUGCACAGGUUGUGAACUCGAAGAGUAGGGCGGGACACGUGGUAUCCUGUCUGAAUAUGGGGGGACCAUCCUCCAAGGCUAAAUACUCCUGACUGACCGAUAGUGAACCAGUACCGUGAGGGAAAGGCGAAAAGAACCCCGGCGAGGGGAGUGAAAAAGAACCUGAAACCGUGUACGUACAAGCAGUGGGAGCACCUUCGGGUGUGACUGCGUACCUUUUGUAUAAUGGGUCAGCGACUUAUAUUCUGUAGCAAGGUUAACCGUAUAGGGGAGCCGCAGGGAAACCGAGUCUUAACUGGGCGUUAAGUUGCAGGGUAUAGACCCGAAACCCGGUGAUCUAGCCAUGGGCAGGUUGAAGGUUGGGUAACACUAACUGGAGGACCGAACCGACUAAUGUUGAAAAAUUAGCGGAUGACUUGUGGCUGGGGGUGAAAGGCCAAUCAAACCGGGAGAUAGCUGGUUCUCCCCGAAAGCUAUUUAGGUAGCGCCUCGUGAACUCAUCUUCGGGGGUAGAGCACUGUUUCGGCUAGGGGGUCAUCCCGACUUACCAACCCGAUGCAAACUACGAAUACCGAAGAAUGUUAUCACGGGAGACACACGGCGGGUGCUAACGUCCGUCGUGAAGAGGGAAACAACCCAGACCGCCAGCUAAGGUCCCAAAGUCAUGGUUAAGUGGGAAACGAUGUGGGAAGGCACAGACAGCCAGGAUGUUGGCUUAGAAGCAGCCAUCAUUUAAAGAAAGCGUAAUAGCUCACUGGUCGAGUCGGCCUGCGCGGAAGAUGUAACGGGGCUAAACCAUGCACCGAAGCUGCGGCAGCGACACUAUGUGUUGUUGGGUAGGGGAGCGUUCUGUAAGCCUGCGAAGGUGUGCUGUGAGGCAUGCUGGAGGUAUCAGAAGUGCGAAUGCUGACAUAAGUAACGAUAAAGCGGGUGAAAAGCCCGCUCGCCGGAAGACCAAGGGUUCCUGUCCAACGUUAAUCGGGGCAGGGUGAGUCGACCCCUAAGGCGAGGCCGAAAGGCGUAGUCGAUGGGAAACAGGUUAAUAUUCCUGUACUUGGUGUUACUGCGAAGGGGGGACGGAGAAGGCUAUGUUAGCCGGGCGACGGUUGUCCCGGUUUAAGCAUGUAGGCUGAUUGUCCAGGCAAAUCCGGAUAAUCAAGGCUGAGGUGUGAUGACGAGGCACUACGGUGCUGAAGUAACAAAUGCCCUGCUUCCAGGAAAAGCCUCUAAGCAUCAGGUAACAUUAAAUCGUACCCCAAACCGACACAGGUGGUCAGGUAGAGAAUACCAAGGCGCUUGAGAGAACUCGGGUGAAGGAACUAGGCAAAAUGGUGCCGUAACUUCGGGAGAAGGCACGCUGGUGUGUAGGUGAAGUCCCUGCGGAUGGAGCUGAGACCAGUCGAAGAUACCAGCUGGCUGCAACUGUUUAUUAAAAACACAGCACUGUGCAAACACGAAAGUGGACGUAUACGGUGUGACGCCUGCCCGGUGCCGGAAGGUUAAUUGAUGGGGUUAUCCGUAAGGAGAAGCUCUUGAUCGAAGCCCCGGUAAACGGCGGCCGUAACUAUAACGGUCCUAAGGUAGCGAAAUUCCUUGUCGGGUAAGUUCCGACCUGCACGAAUGGCGUAAUGAUGGCCAGGCUGUCUCCACCCGAGACUCAGUGAAAUUGAACUCGCUGUGAAGAUGCAGUGUACCCGCGGCAAGACGGAAAGACCCCGUGAACCUUUACUAUAGCUUGACACUGAACAUUGAGCCUUGAUGUGUAGGAUAGGUGGGAGGCUUUGAAGCGUGGACGCCAGUCUGCGUGGAGCCAACCUUGAAAUACCACCCUUUAAUGUUUGAUGUUCUAACGUUGGCCCCUGACCGGGGUUGCGGACAGUGUCUGGUGGGUAGUUUGACUGGGGCGGUCUCCUCCCAAAGCGUAACGGAGGAGCACGAAGGUUAGCUAAUCCUGGUCGGACAUCAGGAGGUUAGUGCAAUGGCAUAAGCUAGCUUGACUGCGAGCGUGACGGCGCGAGCAGGUGCGAAAGCAGGUCAUAGUGAUCCGGUGGUUCUGAAUGGAAGGGCCAUCGCUCAACGGAUAAAAGGUACUCCGGGGAUAACAGGCUGAUACCGCCCAAGAGUUCAUAUCGACGGCGGUGUUUGGCACCUCGAUGUCGGCUCAUCACAUCCUGGGGCUGAAGUAGGUCCCAAGGGUAUGGCUGUUCGCCAUUUAAAGUGGUACGCGAGCUGGGUUUAGAACGUCGUGAGACAGUUCGGUCCCUAUCUGCCGUGGGCGCUGGAGAAUUGAGGGGGGCUGCUCCUAGUACGAGAGGACCGGAGUGGACGCAUCACUGGUGUUCGGGUUGUCAUGCCAAUGGCACUGCCCGGUAGCUAAAUGCGGAAGAGAUAAGUGCUGAAAGCAUCUAAGCACGAAACUUGCCCCGAGAUGAGUUCUCCCUGAGACUUUAAGUCUCCUGAAGGAACGUUAAAGACGAUGACGUUGAUAGGCCGGGUGUGUAAGCGCAGCGAUGCGUUGAGCUAACCGGUACUAAUGAACCGUGAGGCUUAACCUU
rnacentral:rRNA from 1 species